rnacentral:rRNA from 1 species
GACGAACGCUGGCGGCGUGCUUAACACAUGCAAGUCGAACGGAAAGGCCCUGCUUUUGUGGGGUGCUCGAGUGGCGAACGGGUGAGUAACACGUGAGUAACCUGCCCUUGACUUUGGGAUAACUUCAGGAAACUGGGGCUAAUACCGGAUAGGAGCUCCUGCUGCAUGGUGGGGGUUGGAAAGUUUCGGUGGUUGGGGAUGGACUAGCAGGUUACGAGCUUGUUUGGGGGGUAGGGGCUGACGAAGCCUUCGACGGGUAGCCGGCCUGGGAGGGGUGCCGGCGACAUGGGGACUAAGGUAGGGCGCAGAAGCCUACGGGAGGCAGUAGUGGGGAAUAUGACACAGUAGGCGGACGUCAGAUGCAGCAGCGCCGCGAGCGGGAUGACGGCCUUCGGGGUGUAAACAGCUUUCGCCUGUAACGAAGAGUGAGUGACGGUAAUGGGUAAAGAAGCACCGGCUAACUACGUG